rnacentral:rRNA from 1 species
AGUGAACGCUGGCGGUAGGCCUAACACAUGCAAGUCGAACGGCAGCACAGUAAGAGCUUGCUCUUACGGGUGGCGAGUGGCGGACGGGUGAGGAAUACAUCGGAAUCUACUUUUUCGUGGGGGAUAACGUAGGGAAACUUACGCUAAUACCGCAUACGACCUACGGGUGAAAGCAGGGGAUCUUCGGACCUUGCGCGAUUGAAUGAGCCGAUGUCGGAUUAGCUAGUUGGCGGGGUAAAGGCCCACCAAGGCGACGAUCCGUAGCUGGUCUGAGAGGAUGAUCAGCCACACUGGAACUGAGACACGGUCCAGACUCCUACGGGAGGCAGCAGUGUGGAAUAUUGGACAAUGGGCGAAAGCCUGAUCCAGCCAUACCGCGUGGGUGAUGAAGUCCUUCGGGUUGUAAAGCCCUUUUGUUGGGAAAGAAAAGCAGCAUGUUAAUACCCCGCUGUUCUGACGGUACCCAAAGAAUAAGCACCGGCUAACUUCGUG